CACGGGGGGAACGCGAAGAACUUACCAAGGCUUGACAUGGAUUUCUAAGCACGUGAAAGCGUGUGACCCUUCGGGGGACUUCCACAGGUGCUGCAUGGCCGUCGUCAGCUCGUGUCGUGAGAUGUUGGGUUAAGUCCCGCAACGAGCGCAACCCCUGUGAUUAGUUGCCAGCACGUAAUGGUGGGGACUCUAGUCAGACUGCCCAGAUCAACUGGGAGGAAGGUGGGGACGACGUCAAGUCCGUAUGGCCCUUACGGCCAGGGCUGCACACGUACUACAAUGCCCAGCACAAAGUGAACCGAGACCGCGAGGUGGAGGAAAUCGAGAAAGCUGGGCUCAGUUCAGAUUGCAGGCUGCAACUCGCCUGCAUGAAGUUGGAAUCGCUAGUAAUCGCAGAUCAGCAUUGCUGCGGUGAAUACGUUCCCGGGUCUUGUACACACGC
rnacentral:rRNA from 1 species